rnacentral:rRNA from 1 species
GAUGAACGCUAGCGGCAGGCCUAAUACAUGCAAGUCGAGGGGCAGCACGGUAGCAAUACUGGUGGCGACCGACGCACGGGUGCGUAACACGUAUGCAACCUGCCUUCAACUGGGAGAUAGCCCGGGGAAACUCGGAUUAAUACUCCAUAACACAGGGAUCCCGCAUGGGAAUAUUGUUAAAGCUACGGCGGUUGAAGAUGGGCAUGCGUUCGAUUAGCUAGUUGGUGUAGGUAACGGCUCACCAAGGCUACGAUCGAUAGGGGGUCUGAGAGGAUGAUCCCCCACACUGGUACUGAGAUACGGACCAGACUCCUACGGGAGCAGCAGUGGGGAAUAUUGGACAAUGGGCGAAAGCCUGAUCCAGCAAUGCCGCGUGAGUGAUGAAGGCCUUAGGGUUGUAAAGCUCUUUUACCCGGGAUGAUAAUGACAGUACCGGGAAAAUAAGCUCCGGCUAACUCCGUGCCAGCAGCCGCGGUAAU